GCCGCCCGGGCUGGAGGCACAGGGCGGCAGCUGUGACUGUGCUUACUAAAGAAAGCUGGUCUUCACCCCUGGGAGGUGGCGCAUAUGUGCUUCCAAAUGGGAGGCCGGAUGUGGCUGGGCCAGCUGAUAUUUUGGAGCCCAAGGACCGAUCGCCAAGGCCACGUCCUCAGGGUGGCCUUCAGAGGGAUCUAUUUCAGGAGGGACCCAGAAAGUCGGGACUACUGUGACCCUUGCGUUUUUUCCCCACCAGUGUUGGCUGGCUUGACUGGAGGAGAUGCUUUUGAAGGGCUCUGAGGUGCCUGGGAGGGGCCCUGGAAGCCAAGCCAGGAGGGGAGUUUUGGGGAGGCGGGAGUGGGGGAGGGUGCAAGAACAAGGCACAGGAGAGACCAGGGAAAGAUAAUUGGAGCCCUUGGAACUGAGCUCCCAGCGACAGCCUCUGCCCAUAGCGUGGAGAACGUUAAGUCCAGCUCCCUGGAGGCAGAAUUCAUCUCUGCGGUUUCCCUUCCAGAGCAUGUGGCCGGCAUCUCCACUAAGACGAAUCACAGCAGGGCAGGCCUGAAAAGACAUAUUUUGGAGAACAUGUAUUGACUGUUCCAGCUGUGAGCAUGCUUCCUGCCCUCCCUCCAGGCUGCCCAGCAGUGCCGCUGCUGCAAAUCCAGGGGUUGCUGAGAGGACGGACUGCUCACAGGGCAGCUGCUGAGGUACAGAACCCACAGGUCGGGGACACGGUCACUGCCAGCUGCCACUCAAGAAAGAAGACGUGGCAGGAAGUUGCUGUGAAAGGUGAGCCAGCGCCAUGAGGAGUGGCUGCCUCUUGAAUCCUGUCAGUCUCCGGCAGAUCCGAUUACAUCUGGGACCCUUAAGAGUACUUGAAGCAAACGGCGCUGGUCUAUUUUAAUCCUGCUCCUUCUAGAAACUAGAAACUGUAAGGAGAGUCUUCCUGCUGACAGGUGGCUCCAUAAAAGUCGUCCAUCUGCUGCUAAUUAUGGCAGAAAGAAAAUUCACAGAGCCGAGUUUUCAGUUUAUUUGCUAAAGAUCUCCAAAGGUGAAAGAACUAUUCCUUCCAGCCCAGAACACUGUCUCUGAACAGCAAGAUGGCUUUGAAACGCUUUCACAACGAAGGUGUGCUCCACUGGGCACCACAACAUACGGUUCAGACGUUUAAAGCCUGUCUCAGCCCAAUUUCCUCUCCAUUUGCUCCCUGGGUAAGGUAUCCCCCCUUCAGUGCAGGCAGAACUGGCGACUUGCUUCUAAUCAACAAAAUAUGGCAAAGUGGUGGAGUCUAGAAGUCUGAGAUCAGGGCACCAGCCUGGCCGAGUUCUGAUGGCGUCUCGCUUUGUCACCCAGGCUGGAGUGCAGUGGCGCGAUCUCGGUUCACUGCAACAUCUACCUCCCAGGUUCAAGUGAUUCUCCUGCCUUAGCCUCCCGAGUAGCUGGGAUUACAGGCACCCACCACCACAUCCGGCGAAUUUUUUGUAUUUUUAGUAGAGACAGGGUUUCACCAUGUUGGCCAGGAUGGUCUUGAUUUCCUGACCUGGUGAUCUGCCCACCUUGGCCUCCCAAACUGCUGGGAUUGCAGGCGUGAGCCACCGUGCCUGGCCGACCACUGAUCUUUUCACUGUAUCCACAGUGUUGCCUUUUCCAGAAUGUCAUAGAAUUUGAAUCAUACUAUAUGUUGCCCUUUCAGAUGAGUUUCUUUCACUUACUAAUAUUCAUUUGUUUCCUCCAUGUCUUUUGGCUUGAUAAUUCAUUUCUUUUUAUCACUGAAUAAUAUUCCAUUGUCUGAUGUACCACAGUUUAUUUACGCAUUUACCUACUGAAGGAUAUCAGGACAUCUUAGUUGCCUCUGAGUUUUUGGCAAUUAUGAAUAAAACUGCUAUAGAAAGAUGUGUGCAGGUUUUUCUGUGGAUAUAGUUUUCAACUCCUUUGGGUAACUCCAAGGAGUGUGGUCGCUGGAUCAUAUAGUAAGAGUAUGUGUAGUUUUGUAACAAAUAGCCAAAUGUUCUCCAAAGUGGCAUUAGCAUUUUGCUUUCCCACCAGCAAGGAAUAAGAGUUCCUGUUGCUCUGUAUCCUCACCAGCAUUUGGUGGUGUCAGUGUUCUGGAUUUUGGCCAUUGUAAUAAAUGUGUGGUGUUAUCUCAUUGUUGUUUUAAUUUGCAUUUGCCUGAUGACAUACAAUGUGGAACAUCUUUUUAUUGAAGCUAAUGUUUUAAGCCUGGCAAUUUAGUCUCUUCUCUUCCUGUAACCCUGAGCCACUGAGCACAGCUUUCUCCAGAAGCACCUGUGAGUCACUAUACACCACUGCUAUCUCCUGAAUGCUGGAGGCACUGGAGUGGGCCCUUUCAACUUUCAUUUUCUUAUUACCUAGAGAACUUGGCAUUGGUAGAUGCCCAAAAAAUGUAUGUGAGAUGCCUGCACAUUAAAAGACUGGCUGAAAACUUAAGCAGUAUACUGGUUUAGAUCAUUCAUCGCUGUCGGCAAGAGUAAAAAGCUAUGUAGCAGCAU
rnacentral:lncRNA from 10 species